UACAGAGGGUGCGAGCGUUAAUCGGAAUUACUGGGCGUAAAGGGCGCGUAGGCGGUUAUAUAAGUUAGAUGUGAAAUCCCUGGGCUUAACCUAGGAACUGCAUCUAAUACUGUAUGACUGGAGUGCAGUAGAGGAUAGUGGAAUUUCCGGUGUAGCGGUGAAAUGCGUAGAUAUCGGAAGGAACACCAGUGGCGAAGGCGGCUAUCUGGACUGACACUGACGCUGAGGCGCGAAAGCGUGGGGAUCAAACAGG
rnacentral:rRNA from 1 species